rnacentral:rRNA from 1 species
UACGUAGGCAGCGAGCGUUGUUCGGAGUUACUGGGCGUAAAGGGUGUGUAGGCGGUUGUUUUAAGUUUGGUGUGAAAUCUCCCGGCUCAACUGGGAGGGUGCGCCGAAUACUGAAUGACUUGGAGUGCGGGAGAGGAGAGUGGAAUUCCUGGUGUAGCGGUGAAAUGCGUAGAUAUCAGGAGGAACACCGGUGGUGUAGACGGCUCGUCUGGACCGUAACUGACGCUGAGACACGAAAGCGUGGGUAGCAAACAGG